CUAAGAUCAAAGUGUAGUAUCUGUUCUUUUCAGCUUAAUAUCUGAAAGUUCCCGCAUUGCGGGACCAGUAUAUUAAACUGAUUUUUGUAAAAUGACGGGAAGUUCGGGGCUCGCUCCACUUCUGUCACGGGUCGGCCCGGCAUUGCAGUGCC
rnacentral:snRNA from 1 species